rnacentral:rRNA from 1 species
UACGUAGGCAGCGAGCGUUGUUCGGAGUUACUGGGCGUAAAGCGUGCGUAGGCGGUGGUGCAAGUCUGGUGUGAAAUCUCCCGGCUUAACUGGGAGGGUGCGCCGGAAACUGUGCUGCUGGAGUGCGGGGAGAGGUAAGCGGAAUUCCCCGGUGUAGCGGUGAAAUGCGUAGAUAUCGGGAGGAACACCUGUGGUGUAGACGGCUUACUGGACCGCGACUGACGCUGAGGCACGAAAAGCGUGGGGUAGCAAA